GUCGGCGCGGGAAAGGGGCGCCGGAGUGGACGCGCUCUGACCCCGGGCGUGGGUUGCAGGUUGUGCUCCCGGCCCACUCCCCAGCCUUGCAGCAUCCGCUGCCUCCGGGAAGGCGGGCCGAAUCUCGCCAGGUUGGUAGCUUGCGGAUGGGAGCUCGACCGACCCUCAUCCCCGGCCGACUCCUGGCGCCGGAGCGGACAGGACUGCGAGGAUGUGGAGAUUAUAUUUCGGGGACGGCGAGUGAAUCUGCGUUCUCGUCACCACCCAAGAAGUUGCACGUGGGUCUUCAGUCGCGAGUCCAGGUCUGGCUCCCCCCGUCGUCGUCCCCCCUCCCCACACACACCUGACCAUCGGAGCAGCAGCACCACUCUGGAGGGGACUGGGGACCCGUUCUGAGGGGCGAGGGCUCCUGAGGUCUGUCCCUAGUGUUUUCCUUGAAGUGUUUCCUGGUCACCAGUGACGGUGAUAGUUUCUUGAUGGACUCCCUUUACGACUGGAGGAGCAUCAUCUCCUCCCCAUUAUGCACCCUAGCAAAGAAAACACUGUGUGACAUCUUGAAGUAGCCUGGCAUCUAUCUGUCACUUGAAUGAUUGUGAAACUUCGGGAAGAUUUGGAAGCGACUGUUGAUGCUAAACCGAUACCAGGAGAUUGAACUUGCAUCUUUCCGCAUGCGCAGGAAGCAGCGAAACCACUGAGCUAAAUCCCUGGCCCCCCGUGUAAUUUCUUAUAACUCUUCUUGCUCACUCACUUGUUUACUCUGCCUCUUGGCUUCCUCAUUUUUUUCUCAAUGUCAAAACUCCCAGCUCAGCUAACAUUAUUCCAAUCAAAAUGGACACACAAAAACAUACUUCUUUAAAAGACAGUAAACUGUUUAUUCAAUAUUGUUUUAGUCCAUCUUUUGGUGCGAUAGCAGGAUACCUGAGAUGAGGUAAUUUAUAAAAGAGUUUAUUGGGCUCAUGAUUCUGAA
rnacentral:lncRNA from 1 species